CCCGGGCCUUGUACACACCGCCCGUCACACCAUGGGAGUUGGUCUUACCCUAAAACGGUGCGCUAACCGCAAGGAGGCAGCCGGCCACGGUAAGGUCAGCGACUGGGGUG
rnacentral:rRNA from 1 species